AUUUCUGAUGUGGCCAUGGUAUGUGUGACAGAAAUAUAUACAAAAAUUGAAAUGUUACAGAGUAAACUAGCAUCGUUCUAGCACAAGAAUAACACACAAACUUUUGAAGUGUUCCUUUUUUUC
rnacentral:snRNA from 1 species